rnacentral:rRNA from 1 species
UUUCACCGGAGCUUGCUCCACCGAAAGAAAAGGAGUGGCGAACGGGUGAGUAACACGUGGGUAACCUGCCCAUCAGAAGGGGAUAACACUUGGAAACAGGUGCUAAUACCGUAUAACAAUCGAAACCGCAUGGUUUCGGUUUGAAAGGCGCUUUUGCGUCACUGAUGGAUGGACCCGCGGUGCAUUAGCUAGUUGGUGAGGUAACGGCUCACCAAGGCAACGAUGCAUAGCCGACCUGAGAGGGCGAUCGGCCACAUUGGGACUGAGACACGGCCCAAACUCCUACGGGAGGCAGCAGUAGGGAAUCUUCGGCAAUGGACGGAAGUCUGACCGAGCAACGCCGCGUGAGUGAAGAAGGUUUUCGGAUCGUAAAACUCUGUUGUUAGAGAAGAACAAGGAUGAGAGUAGAAUGUUCAUCCCUUGACGGUAUCUAACCAGAAGGCCACGGCUAACUACGUGCCAGCAGCCGCGGUAAUACGUAGGUGGCAAGCGUUGUCCGGAUUUAUUGGGCGUAAAGCGAGCGCAGGCGGUUUCUUAAGUCUGAUGUGAAAGCCCCCGGCUCAACCGGGGAGGGUCAUUGGAAACUGGGAAACUUGAGUGCAGAAGAGGAGAGUGGAAUUCCAUGUGUAGCGGUGAAAUGCGUAGAUAUAUGGAGGAACACCAGUGGCGAAGGCGGCUCUCUGGUCUGUAACUGACGCUGAGGCU